rnacentral:lncRNA from 10 species
UCUCUGGGUUCUCAUGGUUAAGGUGUUUAAUUUGGGGGACAACAAAGCAAAAGCAUUGGUCAUGUUUUAAUAUAAUUAGUACAGGAUAUAUCUAAGGGGUUCAAGUAUCACUGUAGCAAGAAGCUCAUUCUGCAGUAAAAGGGGGAUUCUGCCACUAGGAUUGAGUGAGGGUGAUUCAUGGCUGCACCGUUUCAUCAAUGUCUCUUCAAGAGUCCAUGGAAUGUGGAAUGGGAAAGACUGAAAUAGUCCAAGUCUUGGCUAAGCUUCUAUUAAGGGGUGUUAGGAGCUGAUAAAAUAACCUGGUCUUUAUAGACAUCCCACACUGUAGUUCUGUAAGCUACAGAUUCUCAGAUUUUUCUAUUUUAUAAACCAGUAAAAAUAUUUUAUUAAUUUGAGAACCAACAUAAGGUUGCUACUUUAUUUUCUUUUUGGUAAGAAGGAACUUUUUUAAACUACCAGUUUCACACACACACACACACACACACACACACACACACACACACAUACACACAGAAAUUCCACCAUGAUUGGUCAGAAUAGGUGAGGUUUUGCUGCAAUAACAAACAACUCCUAAAUCUUGGUAACUUCAAACAUCAGUAGUUGUUUUUCUCACUCAUGCUACAUCUGCAGGGAGGUGUGGGGUGCUCUGUUUUCCAUCAAACUUGCCCUAAGACUAAGGCUAAUGGGGGCUGCAUUACCUCGAGUAUCACCAAGCAGGGAACAGCGGGACAAGAAUGCUAGAGAGCCUUGUACUAAGAAUUAAAUGCUCCAGGCUAGAAGUCUCACACUGCACCUCUGCCCCCAGCCUCUUGGCCAGUACUAGCAACAUCCCCUUCCCCACCACAGGGCAAUGCAUGAAGACAGGAGAAUUUGAUACAUUACAAAUUUCUACCCCAUGGCAUUUCAUAAAAGAGAAAAAAAUGCAAAUACAAAAAUGUUUUAAUAGAAUAGAAUAUAUACAUUUUUGGAAUAAAGAACAAUCCUCCAAAAAGGACAGCUGGUGGUCUUUCACCAAUGGGCACAUUUCUGUGACAUUUUCUCUGUUUUUCCAUUUUAUCCUUGACCUAUGAACAUUUUAUACAGAUGGUCCAAAGAACACCAUGUGGGGACCACUGCUCUAAUCAGGUGAUGAAAACGGCCCCAAGAACAGAGCACAGUCUCUUUAGCAAAGACCCAGCAGGGCCAGGGUGACCAUGUUCUCACCAUCAACGUGCAGACAUCCACCUGCAGCAUCCUCACAUCCCAACAUCAAACAGUGGCUCUUUAUAGCUUGAUUCUAAUGCCCUUUGAUCUUCAUAAUCAUUGUAAAGUUCUCUGGCCCCAAGAUCUAACAUCGCCACUCUAGCUACAUCCUGCAACUGUUCAUCUCUCCUGCCUCCUCAUCCCUCUAAACUUCUCUUCACAACCUCAUGUUUCCUUCUUGCUUUACCUUCCUGCUCAGCCUGGACCUUACAGUCACCUUCUUCUUGUAAUGUGCUCCUGAACUCGUUCUUCCCUGCCUUCAACCACACCCACCUGGAAAAUCUCCAUACCCCAUUGAUGACUUGCCUCGCAACUGCCCAAGGGCUGCUGAAUGAUACUGGAAAGAAUCACAACAUGGAUCUGGUAGUUCCACUAAAUAAUCUCACCAUCCAACUCUAGGAUAGACUUCACUUCUGUUCAGCAAUAUUUUUAAGCAUCACAAAUAAAUUCCAAACCAUAUUUGCUAGAACAACUGACUUUAAACCUCUUACAUAUCUCAAAGCCCCCCAAACCCAUCCCUAGGGAUUUCAGAGCCCAGAGUUGAGUUCUCUCAACUCACUUCCAUCUCACCCCUAGAUCACUGUACCUUGACCCUCUUCCUCUGCCUUUCCCAUGUUAUAAGGAGAAGCAUCCUUCUCCUUUCCCAAGCUACCUUCUCCACUUGUGCCUCAUUUGAGACCUCCCUUUAUCACCCGUUCCCUUGGAACUCCCAUGACUCACCACCUUCACUUGUCAUUUCACUCAUAAAUAUUUUGCACCAUGUAUGUGCCAGGCGUUUAACAUAGAAUCAUGCUUAAGUCUCUACAUGCUAACAAGAAAAACCUUGAUUAUCCCUGCUAUGCCCUCAAGUCAUUACCUUCCCCGCUCCUUUCCUGUGUUCCCAAACUUUGUUGAUCUUCAUCAAUCCCUCUGAUGCAGAUGGCUCCGAAGUUUGCACCCUAUUAGGUUGGUGCAAAAGUAAUUGCGGAUUUUGCCAUUAAAAGUAAUGGCAAAAAUAGCAAUUAUUUUUGUACCAGCCUAGUAAAUUUUCUCCUUCUACCAAACUUUGUCCCUGAGCCAUCUCAUCACCUAUAACUACCUCCUCCAUGCAGUUGAUUCCCAGAUCUCUAUUAUUCUACUGAAAGUCCGUUCCCCAACUUUCUCGGCUAGGAUAACAGAAGCCCAAUUAGAAUUCAUGAUACCAGUUUCCCACCACCACCACCACCACCACCACCACCACCACCACCACCACCACCGUCGCCCUGCCAUUGUUAGCAAAACCAUCUCUUGAGUGGAGCUCAAAGAUUUGUAAUCUCCCACUCCCCAGAAAGAUAACUUCAGACUCAGCCUAGAAGUAAAGUUCCUCCAGAUAUGGCCUCAACUACCCUCCAACCCAUGUCCCCAGUGCAUUCCUUUGAUGCCCCCUUCAGUGGAGUUAAAAUGGAGUGAGUGUUUUUCUUUUCACAUACUCCUGGUGUUCUUCCAUGAAUACAAUUUUCACCUCUUGAAUAUUUUCAAUGUUCUCCAGAGAAAGAGCAGAGAGAUAGAGGUAGAGCUAUACACAUAGAGAGAGACAGAUUGAUUAGUUGUAAGGGAUGGCUCACAUGGUUAUGGAGGAUAAGGAGUCCUGGAGUCUGCAGCCAGCAAGCUGGGGACCCAGGACAGCCAAUGAUAUAGUUCCAACUCGAGUCCACAUCUAAAGUCAGGAGAAGAUUGAUGUCCCAGCUCAAAUAUAAUCAGGUAAAAAGAGCAAAUUCUCUGUGACUUUACCUUUUUGUUUUGUUCAGGCCUUCAGUGGAUUGGAUGAGGCUCACCCACAUUGGGGAGGACAAUCUGCUUUAUUCAGUCUACCAAUUAAAUGUUAUCCUCAUCCAGAAUACCUCAGAGACACACCCAGAAUAAUGUGUAGCCAAAUAUUUGGGCACCCCACAGCCCAGUCAAAUUGAUACAUAACACUAACUAUCAGGUCUUGCUUCUACUCUCUCCCCAUUACUGCAUGGCCAAAUCCUUCCCUUAUUUCAAGGCUUAGUUCAAAUGUUACCUCUUAACUAAGCCUUCCCUGCUAACCCCAAAUAUUAAUAGAAUUGGUGUCUCCCUUCUCUGAUGUCUCAAAAUACGUUGUGUGUUUCUCUUUUACUGUAUUUAUUACAAACUCCCUUAUAAAUCAAGACAGUGAUUCCCAGACAAAUUAUCAAAAGAGUAUAAAAGAAGUCUUCUUUGAGUGUGAAAUAUCUCAUGGAAUAUAGCACAUGGCCUCUUCAUGAAGAAUCUACUGGGAGAGAAGAAGACAAGCUGGAAGAGACCAGGGAAAGGGGGUUAGUACAAAGCACAAUGAGGCUGGGCUCAUACAGUGGCUCACACCUGUA